GCGUUUUAAGAGAGUUGUGAUCCCCACCGGCGUGUUAAAGAGGGUUUAGUAUCCCCACCGGCGUUUUGAAGAGGGUUUAGUAUCCCCACCGGCGUGUUAAAGAGGGUUUAGUAUCCCCACCGGCGUUUUGAAGAGGGUUUAGUAUCCCCACCGGCGUGUUACAGAGGGUUUAGUAUCCCCACCGGCGUUUUAAGAGAGUUGUGAUCCCCACUGGCGUGUUAAAGAGGGUUUAGUAUCCCCACCGGCGUUUUGAAGAGGGUUUAGUAUCCCCACCGGCGUGUUAAAGAGGGUUUAGUAUCCCCACCGGCGUUUUAAGAGAGUUGUGAUCCCCACCGGCGUGUUAAAGAGGGUUUAGUAUCCCCACCGGCGUUUUGAAGAGGGUUUAGUAUCCCCACCGGCGUUUUGAAGAGGGUUUAGUAUCCCCACCGGCGUGUUAAAGAGGGUUUAGUAUCCCCACCGGCGUUUUGAAGAGGGUUUAGUAUCCCCACCGGCGUGUUAAAGAGGGUUUAGUAUCCCCACCGGCGUUUUAAGAGAGUUGUGAUCCCCACUGGCGUGUUAAAGAGGGUUUAGUAUCCCCACCGGCGUUUUGAAGAGGGUUUAGUAUCCCCACCGGCGUGUUAAAGAGGGUUUAGUAUCCCCACCGGCGUUUUAAGAGAGUUGUGAUCCCCACCGGCGUGUUAAAGAGGGUUUAGUAUCCCCACCGGCGUUUUGAAGAGGGUUUAGUAUCCCCACCGGCGUGUUAAAGAGGGUUUAGUAUCUCCACCGGCGUUUUAAGAGAGUUGUGAUCCCCACCGGUGUGUUAAAGAGGGUUUAGUAUCCCCACCGGCGU
ensembl:lncRNA